AUUGAACGCUGGCGGCAGGCCUAACACAUGCAAGUCGAGCGGAUGAAGGGAGCUUGCUCCUGGAUUCAGCGGCGGACGGGUGAGUAAUGCCUAGGAAUCUGCCUGGUAGUGGGGGAUAACGUCCGGAAACGGGCGCUAAUACCGCAUACGUCCUGAGGGAGAAAGUGGGGGAUCUUCGGACCUCACGCUAUCAGAUGAGCCUAGGUCGGAUUAGCUAGUUGGUGGGGUAAAGGCCUACCAAGGCGACGAUCCGUAACUGGUCUGAGAGGAUGAUCAGUCACACUGGAACUGAGACACGGUCCAGACUCCUACGGGAGGCAGCAGUGGGGAAUAUUGGACAAUGGGCGAAAGCCUGAUCCAGCCAUGCCGCGUGUGUGAAGAAGGUCUUCGGAUUGUAAAGCACUUGAAGUUGGGAGGAAGGGCAGUAAGUUAAUACCUUGCUGUUUUGACGUUACCAACAGAAUAAGCACCGGCUAACUUCGUG
rnacentral:rRNA from 1 species